rnacentral:rRNA from 1 species
UACGUAGGGGGCAAGCGUUGUCCGGAAUCAUUGGGCGUAAAGAGCGUGUAGGCGGUCCGGUAAGUCGGCUGUGAAAGUCCAGGGCUCAACCCUGGAAUUGCCUUCGAUACUGUUUGGCUAGAGACCGGAAGAGGUAAGUGGAACUGCGAGUGUAGAGGUGAAAUUCGUAGAUAUUCGCAAGAACACCAGUGGCGAAGGCGGCUUACUGGUCCGGUUCUGACGCUGAGGCGCGAAAGCGUGGGGAGCAAACAGG